GACGAACGCUGGCGGCGUGCUUAACACAUGCGAGUCGAACGGAAAGGCCCUGCUUGCAGGGUACUCGAGUGGCGAACGGGCGAGUAACACGUGGGUGAUCUGCCCUGCACUUCGGGAUAAGCUUGGGAAACUGGGUCUAAUACCGGAUAGGAGCCAUCUUUAGCGUGGUGGUUGGAAAGUUUUUUCGGUGUAGGAUGAGCUCGCGGCCUAUCAGCUUGUUGGUGGGGUAAUGGCCUACCAAGGCGGCGACGGGUAGCCGGCCUGAGAGGGUGUACGGCCACCUUGGGUCUGAGGGACGGCCCAGACGCCUACUGGAGGCAGCAGUGGGGAAGAUUGCACCAGGGGCGCAAGCCUGAUGCAGCAACGCCGCGGGGGGGAUGAAGGCCUUCGGGUUGUAAACACCUUUCGCUAGGGACGAAGCUUUUUGUGACGGUACCUAGAUAAGAAGCACCGGCUAACUACGUG
rnacentral:rRNA from 1 species